rnacentral:lncRNA from 1 species
UUUUAUUUUUGUUUUAUUGCUUCCUCCCUUUUUUGUGGGGGUUGUUAAAAUUAUUAUUUGUUUUUGUUUUUUGUUUUUUUUUGUUUUUGUUUUGUUUUUUGUUUUUUGUUUUUUUGUUUUUUUGUCUUGUUUUCAAGACAGGGUCUCACUAGGUAGGCCUGGCUGCUCUGAGAACUCAGUCUACAGACAAAGCUGGCUUUGGUUGUCACCAUACUUGGAUGCUUCCUUUUUUUUAAAGACAAGUUAUACAAUGUUCCUCAACUUCUAACCAACUUCCUGUACCUUAAGACUGGCCUGUGGGAGUAUUCCUGGAGGACAGACCUGGCCAUCACAGAGAACUCACCUUGUUUGUUAGCUUUUCACACCCUUGGUUCCUGUUAUACUAAUGUCUACAUACCAUUUUUCCAUACUUUUUCUGGAUUUUCAUGUUAUAUAAGAAUGGAAAUUAAACAUAUUCCCCAUCACCUGUUAAGUCCUGAAAAGGGAAGCCAUUAUCCUCAUAUUAUACUGCAACAAAAGCAUAUUUUUUAAACAGGAAAAGGAUGUUAGCUAAACAAGUUCUAGAUAUUUGGUUAAGGCAGAUGAUUUCUGAGAAUUCUUAUUUUCCUUAACCAUAGAUUGGGGUUACAGUUUGAUUACAGAACUCAUGUAUGUUGAAAAGGCUUUAAAUAAACAUCUGUGGC